CCUACGGGUGGCUGCAGUGAGGAAUAUUGGUCAAUGGGCGCGAGCCUGAACCAGCCAAGUAGCGUGAAGGAUGACUGCCCUACGGGUUGUAAACUUCUUUUAUAAGGGAGUAAAGUGAGGCACGUGUGCCUUUUUGUAUUUACUUUAUGAAUAAGGAUCGGCUAACUCCGUGCCAGCAGCCGCGGUAAUACGGAGGAUCCGAGCGUUAUCCGGAUUUAUUGGGUUUAAAGGGAGCGUAGAUGGGUUGUUAAGUCAGUUGUGAAAGUUUGCGGCUCAACCGUAAAAUUGCAAUUGAUACUGGCAGCCUUGAGUACAGUUGAGGUAGGCGGAAUGCGUGGUGUAGCGGUGAAAUGCUUAGAUAUCACGAAGAACUCCGAUUGCGAAGGCAGCUUACUAAACUGCAACUGACACUGAUGCUCGAAAGUGUGGGUAUCAAACAGGAUUAGAUACACUGGUAGUC
rnacentral:rRNA from 1 species